GACGAACGCUGGCGGCGUGCUUAACACAUGCAAGUCGAACGAAGAGCGACGGAAGCUUGCUUCUAUCAAUCUUAGUGGCGAACGGGUGAGUAACGCGUAAUCAACCUGCCCUUCAGAGGGGGACAACAGUUGGAAACGACUGCUAAUACCGCAUACGAUCUAAUCUCGGCAUCGAGGAUGGAUGAAAGGUGGCCUCUACAUGUAAGCUAUCACUGAAGGAGGGGAUUGCGUCUGAUUAGCUAGUUGGAGGGGUAACGGCCCACCAAGGCGAUGAUCAGUAGCCGGUCUGAGAGGAUGAACGGCCACAUUGGGACUGAGACACGGCCCAGACUCCUACGGGAGGCAGCAGUGGGGAAUCUUCCGCAAUGGACGAAAGUCUGACGGAGCAACGCCGCGUGAGUGAUGACGGCCUUCGGGUUGUAAAGCUCUGUUAAUCGGGACGAAAGGCCUUUC
rnacentral:rRNA from 1 species